GAACGCUAGCUACAGGCUUAACACAUGCAAGUCGAGGGGCAGCAUGGUCUUAGCUUGCUAAGGCCGAUGGCGACCGGCGCACGGGUGAGUAACACGUAUCCAACCUGCCGUCUACUCUUGGACAGCCUUCUGAAAGGAAGAUUAAUACAAGAUGGCAUCAUGAGUCCGCAUGUUCACAUGAUUAAAGGUAUUCCGGUAGACGAUGGGGAUGCGUUCCAUUAGAUAGUAGGCGGGGUAACGGCCCACCUAGUCUUCGAUGGAUAGGGGUUCUGAGAGGAAGGUCCCCCACAUUGGAACUGAGACACGGUCCAAACUCCUACGGGAGGCAGCAGUGAGGAAUAUUGGUCAAUGGGCGAGAGCCUGAACCAGCCAAGUAGCGUGAAGGAUGACUGCCCUAUGGGUUGUAAACUUCUUUUAUAAAGGAAUAAAGUCGGGUAUGCAUACCCGUUUGCAUGUACUUUAUGAAUAAGGAUCGGCUAACUCCGUGCCAGCAGCCGCGGUAAUACGGAGGAUCCGAGCGUUAUCCGGAUUUAUUGGGUUUAAAGGGAGCGUAGAUGGAUGUUUAAGUCAGUUGUGAAAGUUUGCGGCUCAACCGUAAAAUUGCAGUUGAUACUGGAUAUCUUGAGUGCAGUUGAGGCAGGCGGAAUUCGUGGUGUAGCGGUGAAAUGCUUAGAUAUCACGAAGAACUCCGAUUGCGAAGGCAGCCUGCUAAGCUGCAACUGACAUUGAGGCUCGAAAGUGUGGGUAUCAAACAGGAUUAGAUACCCUGGUAGUCCACACGGUAAACGAUGAAUACUCGCUGUUUGCGAUAUACAGCAAGCGGCCAAGCGAAAGCGUUAAGUAUUCCACCUGGGGAGUACGCCGGCAACGGUGAAACUCAAAGGAAUUGACGGGGGCCCGCACAAGCGGAGGAACAUGUGGUUUAAUUCGAUGAUACGCGAGGAACCUUACCCGGGCUUAAAUUGCAGAUGAAUUACGGUGAAAGCCGUAAGCCGCAAGGCAUCUGUGAAGGUGCUGCAUGGUUGUCGUCAGCUCGUGCCGUGAGGUGUCGGCUUAAGUGCCAUAACGAGCGCAACCCUUGUUGUCAGUUACUAACAGGUUCCGCUGAGGACUCUGACAAGACUGCCAUCGUAAGAUGUGAGGAAGGUGGGGAUGACGUCAAAUCAGCACGGCCCUUACGUCCGGGGCUACACACGUGUUACAAUGGGGGGUACAGAGGGCCGCUACCACGCGAGUGGAUGCCAAUCCCCAAAACCUCUCUCAGUUCGGACUGGAGUCUGCAACCCGACUCCACGAAGCUGGAUUCGCUAGUAAUCGCGCAUCAGCCACGGCGCGGUGAAUACGUUCCCGGGCCUUGUACACACCGCCCGUCAAGCCAUGGGAGCCGGGGGUACCUGAAGUGCGUAACCGCGAGGAGCGCCCUAGGGUAAAACCGGUGACUGGGGCUA
rnacentral:rRNA from 1 species